UGAGUCAGCCAGGCGGCCGCGUCGGUCCCUCCUCGGAGGGGCCGCCGAGGAACGUCCGGGCUCCGUAGGGCAGGGUGGUGGGUAACGCCCACCCGGGGUGACCCGCGGGACAGUGCCACAGAGAACAGACCGCCACGUGCGACCGGUCCGCCGGACGUGCGGGGUAAGGGUGAAACGGUGGUGCAAGAGACCACCAGCGUGCCGGGCGACCGGUGCGGCUAGGUAAACCCCACCCGGAGCAAGGCCAGACAGGGAGCGUCCGAGGGCUGCCCGCCCGAGCUCCCGGGUAGGCCGCUGGAGGCGUGCGGCAACGUACGUCGUAGAUGGAUGGCCGUCACCCGCGCGGGGGCAACCGCGCGCGGGGACAGAACCCGGCGUAUCGGCUGACUCAUCCG
rnacentral:RNase_P_RNA from 2 species